GCACAAGCGGUGGAGCAUGUGGUUUAAUUCGAUGAUACGCGAGGAACCUUACCUGGGCUCAAAUGUAUGUUGACGUAUUCUGAAAGGGAUACUUCUUCGGACAAUAUACAAGGUGCUGCAUGGUUGUCGUCAGCUCGUGCCGUGAGGUGUCGGGUUAAGUCCCAUAACGAGCGCAACCCCUAUCAUUAGUUGCCAUCAGGUCAAGCUGGGGACUCUAAUGAAACUGCCUACGCAAGUAGUGAGGAAGGUGGGGAUGACGUCAAAUCAGCACGGCCCUUACGUCCAGGGCUACACACGUGCUACAAUGGCCGGUACAAAGGGCAGCUACCUGGUGACAGGAUGCUAAUCUCAAAAGCCGGUCUCAGUUCGGAUCGGAGUCUGCAACCCGACUCCGUGAAGCUGGAAUCGCCAGUAAUCGCGCAUCAGCCAUGGCGCGGUGAAUACGUUCCCGGGCCUU
rnacentral:rRNA from 1 species